rnacentral:rRNA from 1 species
GUAGGGAAUAUUGGGCAAUGGUCGGAAGACUGACCCAGCCAUGCCGCGUGCAGGAAGAAGGCCUUCGGGUUGUAAACUGCUUUUGUACGGAACGAAACGGUCCGGGUUAAUACCCUGGGCUAAUGACGGUACCGUAAGAAUAAGCACCGGCUAACUACGUGCCAGCAGCCGCGGUAAUACGUAGGGUGCAAGCGUUAAUCGGAAUUACUGGGCGUAAAGCGUGCGCAGGCGGUUUUGUAAGACAGUGGUGAAAUCCCCGGGCUCAACCUGGGAACUGCCAUUGUGACUGCAAGGCUAGAGUGCGGCAGAGGGGGAUGGAAUUCCGCGUGUAGCAGUGAAAUGCGUAGAUAUGCGGAGGAACACCGAUGGCGAAGGCAAUCCCCUGGGCCUGCACUGACGCUCAUGCACGAAAGCGUGGGGAGCAAACAGGAUUAGAUACCCGAGUAGUCC